GUGAGGGUAAUCUCUUUGUGGCGUUUCUCACUCUCUUGUUGGCCAGUAUUGAUGUAACCAAUCUGGCUGGUUGGCAAGUGGCUCUUUCCUUCCUCAUCUGAAGCUUUGUUCCUGGCUAACCAGGGCAGCCUGCUUCUCGAUGGAGAAGGGCCAUUCUUCUGACUUGGGUGUGUGGGAAAGUGUGCUUCUCUACUAGCCCUCCCAAGUGAUCCCUCAAGGUCCAAGAAGGAACUUGCAGGGUGUUAGUGAGAGUUAGAUGACAUCACAGAUAUAAAACAUGUUGUAAACUCUAAGGGUUUGUACAAUUUGGUU
ensembl:misc_RNA 7SK 7SK RNA